rnacentral:lncRNA from 1 species
UAUGUUAUUAUAGACGUCGGUGGCCCAUACCAACAGUCGUGAACAUCCCUGACCGGAUAUCAAAAGUCAAUCAGUUCAGCUUCCUAGACGUCUGUUCCCCCUGAUAGAAACCGACGUCUAAUGGGUAUUCAAAAAGUCAGUUUUAAAUGUUCACUUGGACGUCACAUUAUUAGGAUAACCGACGUCUAUAGACGUUGGUUUCUGGAGAAUAAUCGACGCCCAAUUCCAUUUUAAAUACACCGCAACUCUUCGCGACAUUCAGUUUCUGAUAUCAAUCGUCUUCCUCUUCUCCUUUUUCUCUUGCCACACCUCUUCUUUUUCUCUUUUUUUGGCAUUCUAUUGUUGUUUCUCGUCUUCCUCCUCUCCUUUUUCUCUCUUGCAUCUCAGGUGCGUGGUUUUCUUUUUUCUUUUUUUAUGCUUACAGUUUAAACUUUAUUUAGUCUUUCAUCUAUUAUCUUGUGGUUGAACUAAUUAAAAUUUGCUUUCUUUGUGUUGUGUUUUAGGGCAGUUUUGAUCCUCUCUUUGGGUAACAUAGUACAACAUUCUCCCUUUG